CCUACGGGAGGCAGCAGUGGGGAAUAUUGGGCAAUGGGCGCAAGCCUGACCCAGCAACGCCGCGUGAGGGAAGAAGGUUUUCGGGUCGUAAACCUCUGUUGUCAGGGAAGAACCAAGUCUCGGUUCCUGACCAAUAAGUUACCGCUAACUACGAGCCAGCAGCCGCGGUAAUACGUAGGUGGCAAGCGUUUACCGGAUAUACUGCGUGCAAUGGGCGUGUAGGCGGGGCGUCAAGUCAGAUGUGAAAGCCACGGGCUCAACCUGUGGACUGCAUUUGAAACUGGUGGUCUGGAGUUCUGGAGAGGAGAGCGGAAUUCCAAGUGUAGCGGUGAAAUGCGUAGAUAUUUGGAGGAACACCAGUGGCGAAGGCGAUCUGCUGGACAGCAACUGACGCUGAGGCGCGAAAGCGUGGGGAGCAAACAGGAUUAGAUACCCUUGUAGUC
rnacentral:rRNA from 1 species